rnacentral:lncRNA from 1 species
AUUUCUACAAAUGCACUCUCUUUUCUUUACGGCUGCAAUGCAGGACCAUUAAAAUCGGGUGCAUAUUUUUAGGGACGUGCCUAUCCCAUAUA